UACGUAGGUGGCGAGCGUUACUCGGAAUUACUAGGCGUAAAGCGCGUGUAGGCGGGGGCUUAAGUCAGUCGUUAAAGCUCAGGGCUCAACCCUGAAAUGUCGACUGAAACUGGGCCUCUUGAGUGCGGUAGAGGAGAUCGGAAUUCCAGGUGUAGCGGUGAAAUGCGUAGAUAUCUGGAAGAACGCCAAAGGCGAAGGCAGAUCUCUGGGCCGUUACUGACGCUGAGACGCGAAAGCUAGGGGAG
rnacentral:rRNA from 1 species